GAGUAUAGUUUUAGGUCUAGCCUGCCCACUGAUUUUUAAAUGGCCGCGGUAUAUUGACCGUGCAAAGGUAGCAUAGUAAUUAGUUCUUUAAUUGAGAGCUUGAAUGAAAGGUUUAAUGGAAAAAUAACUGUCUCUGGGAAAAUUUGAUAGAAUUUUAUUUUUAAGUAAAAAGGCUUAGAUUUCUGUAAAAGACGAGAAGACCCUAUAGAGUUUAAUAAAUGAAGAAUGUUCGAGAGUGAAGAAGUAAAUUAUUUUGAGUUUGUGUAAUUUAUUUUAUUGGGGUGAUAGGAAAAUUUGAAAAACUUUUCUUCAUUUGUUAUAUGAAUAUGUAUAUAUAUGAUCCUUUAAUUAAGAUUAAAAGAAAAAAUUACCUUAGGGAUAACAGCGUAAUUUUUCCUAGAGUUCUUAUCGAAGGAAAAGUUUACGACCUCGAUGUUGGAUUAAAAUUAAUUGUUGGUGAAGAAGCUGAUGAGAUUAGGUCUGUUCGACCUUUAAAAUUUUACAUGAUCUGAGUUUAAACCGGUGUGAGCCAGGUCGGUU
rnacentral:rRNA from 1 species